UACGUAGGGGGCUAGCGUUAUCCGGAAUUACUGGGUGUAAAGGGCGCGUAGGCGGGAUAUUAAGUCAGAUGUGAAAUUUUGGGGCUCAACCUCAAAACUGCAUCUGAAACUAAUAUUCUUGAGUGCAGUAGAGGAAAGCGGAAUUCCCAGUGUAGCAGUGAAAUGCGUAGAGAUUGGGAGGAACACCAGUGGCGAAGGCGGCUUUCUGGGCUGUAACUGACGCUGAGGCGCGAAAGCGUGGGGAGCAAACAGG
rnacentral:rRNA from 1 species